rnacentral:misc_RNA from 1 species
AAUUCCUUGAAAAUUUCAACACCCCUGACCUGAAACAAAAAUAUUUCUAAAUAUUUACCUGAUAUAGGGAAAAAGCAUAGAAAAAGCCCAUCAAACUUACCACAAUGUUCAUAUUAUACAAACAAAUAUUAGUAUCAAUAUUAGUAUCAAGUAUAAAAGGAUGUUUACCAUCUCUGCUGGAAGAUUGAGAUCAGAGGAUUUAUAGCUGGGCCAAAAUCCAGUUGUAAGA